rnacentral:rRNA from 1 species
GCAAGUCGAGCGGACGGAUGGGAGCUUGCUCCCUGAAGUCAGCGGCGGACGGGUGAGUAACACGUGGGCAACCUGCCUGUAAGACUGGGAUAACUCCGGGAAACCGGGGCUAAUACCGGAUAAUUCUUUCCCUCACAUGAGGGAAAGCUGAGAGAUGGUUUCGGCUAUCACUUACAGAUGGGCCCGCGGCGCACUAUCUAGUUGGUGAGGUAACGGCUCACCAAGGCGACGAUGCGUAUCCGACCUGAGAGGGUGAUCGGCCACACUGGGACUGAGACACGGCCCACACUCCUACAGGAGGCAGCAGUAUGGAAUCUUCCGCAAUGGACGAAAGUCUGACAGAGCAACGCCGCGUGAGUGAUGAAGGUUUUCGGAUCGUAAAACUCUGUUGUUAGGGAAGAACAAGUACCGGAGUAACUGCCGGUACCUUGACGGUACCUAACCAGAAAGCCACGGCUAACUACGUGCCAGCAGCCGCGGUAAUACGUAGGUGGCAAGCGUUGUCCGGAAUUAUUGUGCGUAGAGCGCGCGCAGGCGGUUCCUUAUGUCUGAUGUGAAAGCCCCCGGCUC